AGAGAGACAGAGUGGAGCGGCGGAGGGAGACAACACAGGACAAGGCAUAGAGAACAAUUAAAAAAAACAUAGGUGGAGACAACAGAGACAUAGAAACAGAGAAAUAUGGAGUAUUUCUCAUCAGCUAUGAGCGUCUGCUGUGUGUCAGGCCCUGUGCCCUCUGGAGAUAGGCCUCUUAUUAAGAUGGACACCAUUCCUAUCCCCUGGAAGUAAGGAAUCCAGAGAGAGAAACUGAUGCUUUGAGGGAGCCAGUGGGCUCCAUCAGCCAUGGAGUAACCAGGUCUUGCUGUGUAGGCUGGUGUCUCUUGGAAGCUGGUAACCUCUGGGUGGGGCCAUUGCAGCCUUCCUCCUGUCUCCAGGCAGUGUCCUGGGGGGCUGUUGGAGAAAGUGACACCUGGUUGAACAGCACUGGGUCUCUCCCUAGUAGCUCUCUUAUUGGCUCCCCUCCAUAAUGCUUGAAUCUCCUCCCAUUACAGUGAACUUGGGCAAGUUACUUCAUUUAAUAAUUAUGCAGCUACCAAGUGCUUUUGCAUGUAUUACUCAUUUGAUCCUCUGUGGCAGGUAUUAUCCCUGCUCCCUUUACAAGGGUAGCAGCUGAGGUCCCAGGGGAUGACGUGCUUUGCCUGAGGCCACAUAGUCACUCAGUGGCAAAGCUACUAAGGUCUUCUGAUUCCCAAGUGUUCUUCCUUUUGCUGACAGCCCAAUCUGGGUCAAGGCUAGUUUGUUUACAGGGAGCAGAAACUCUUGUAAGACAGAAAAUUCAUUGGCAGGGCAAUGAAGGGACUCCUGAGAUUCAAGGGCAGGACACAAAGCCGAUUCUCAGAAGAUCCCAUUGUGGCAGUGAACUGAGAUCAGAAGCCAGGAAGACUAUCUUUUCCUUUCUUUCUGAGUCCAACUAGUGCCUCCUUUCAGCUUUUCUCUGCACACUGGCUCAGCUUACAGGAUCAAUAAAUGCCCAAAAUGAUGUUCAUGGGAAUCCUCUUUCUUUUCCAGUUCAGAUUCUCAAGACAGAACCUGAUUGGCUCACUUAAAUCAAGUGUACAGUCCUGGUCCAAUCAAUUGUAGGCAGAGGGGAGGCUCCUAGUAUACAACAUGACCAACUGCCUGUGGACAGCUCUUCAGCACAGGCUGUCAAAACGGCGGAUGUGGACAGGACAGGCACCCUGAGUUAAACACACUCACUUCGUGGAGAUACUAACCUUGCCUGCCUUCAAGAGCUGCUGUAAGGAGCUUAUACUUAUCAAAGGAGCUUGCAAACUGUCAAGUGCUACAGAAGGGCCAGUUGUUAUUUAGGUUAAAAGGAGCCGUCUGGAAGACAAAAUAUCCACCCAUCAUGUCCUUUGCCAAGAUCGUAGCCCCGACCCAGUGAGCCAGCAUGGGAGAAAAUAGUUAUUAAUGAGGGAGUGAAGCAAGGUAGGGAGUGUUCAGAGGAUGGAUGGGCCGGGGUGUGUACCAUGAUGGAGUAGAGAUUGAGGAAAGGGAUGCCAUUGGCUCAUUAACUCAUUCACUCACUCAAUAAUCCCUGUGAGCCUAUAAUGUGCCAGGAACUGUACCAGAUGAUGGAGGUACAUGAAACACACACAGGCCUCUGUUCCCUAGGGAUGCAUAGGAAGCUGGGUGAUAGGCCCAUAACAUGCCCAUUACUGUCUUGAGAUGAGAGAAUGGUAAUGCGAUCAGAAGGGGUAACAACUCAGCUGAAAGCACCAAGGAAGACCCAAUACAGGCGAGGUCAGAAGGACGUUUGAAGAAUGAGUAGGAUUUAGACAGGCAGACAAGGUAGGGUUAGAGUGAGUGGUAGGCAGAGGCAUUCUGGAGGAAUUGUAAAAGUGUGAGUGUACUUGGGGAAGGUGAAGAGUGUACCCCGUGACAGAGGUGCCAGGAGUAUGUGGGGUGGUGGGAACCAAGCAAACAAGGCUAGAGAUCAUUAAGGAGCUAACAUAUUUGGACUCUGUCCUAGGGACAUUACGGAGCCAUUGGAAGCUUUUAACAGUGUUGCGGUUUCAGACGUGUCUUCUAGACGGAUCACUCUGACUGUCAUAGAGAGUAGAUUGAAGGGGGGGCAGGGAGGGGGAUGGAAACAGAAAGAUCUCACAGGGUGUUUCAUAUGAGAAUUGGGGGAUGUUGGGUAGGGCCUCUCAAAUUUUAAUGCUCUCCCAUUCCUUCCAGGGAACUUGACUGAAAAUACUUAUUAUAGGGCUCUGCCCAGCAGAGGUUGAUUUAGUAUGUCUGAGAUGGGGCCCAUGAAUCUGCAUCUUUUAAAUAGUAAUACGUAAUGGGUAAAAAUGGUUCUCAGACCACUCUUUCAGAAACUUUGGUCUAAGGGGCAGGAAGGUACUGACAUGAAUCAGGAAGCAUCUUAGAAACAUCUUGCCGGUGACCACUUUAAAACCAAAGACCAUUUAAUGGCUCUGAUGGAUUUUCACAAGAGUGGUUAUAAUUGGUUCAUCAUUAUCAUUUUACAUAUAUAUCAUGCUACACACUCAGCCGCCAACAUCUGUUGCUUGGAACCAGGGAAUAAGAGACAGCGGGAUGAAACUUUAAUAGUUCCUCAUUCUCACCAUUUAUUAUCUGCCUUCCUCUAGCCCUGAUGUGGUGGGGGGAGGGAAGUGAAAGUUAAACUUUAUUAAAUAUUUGCAGUGUCACCAAUCCAGUUUAGAAUAGCAGCUCCCCCAUUUACUGAUUUGGGGUGUGAGAUUUCACUUCUCUGAAAUUCCAUUUCUUCAUCUGUGACAUAGAAACUAAUUAGAUCUUCCUUCAGAGCACUGAACAGAGGGUUAGAUGAAACAACUGAAUCAGUUGCUUAUACCAUUAUGAAUUCACAAAUCUUUAACAUAUUUGAUGUGUUUAACUCCAUUGCUUUAUCCUUAUAAGUGCUCAAAUGAUCCCAUCUUUAGCUGGUGGGAGACGUGGAAGUUGACCCUUGAGUCCUUUGGAAAUGACCCUAAUCUAUCAGCAGCUUUCUUACCCUCUGGUGUGAUAUUUCUUUCAGGCACAUCUUGUAUGUUUUCUGCCCAAGGCCAGGAGUCAGCCAUUUCUCCAAGGAGCUUUGAUUUCUUUGGUUAGGAAAAUGGUAUUUGAGGCUGUAAUCUGAGUGUUAGAAGUGCUCAAUGCUCCUGGGUUAGCUGUUGUUUCCUGGGAUUUUAAAAGGACAAUUAGGAAAUGUAUACAUUUUUUUUUAGAAGAAACUACAUCAUGUUCAUAAUGAUAUUUCCAAUUCACACUUGGGAUGUAUUGUUUUUAUUUUGAUUUUAUAUGUGCAUCUCUUUUAAACCGAGAAUCUUAACUCCUAAAGGCAAGAAAUUAGCUGCUUAAGUAAGCAGCUUUUUGUGGUAAUACGCAUAUGUUUUGGAAAUAUACAAUAACAAACUGACAAUCUGAUGACACAAAAAAUUAUCUAAAAAAAUAUCACCAGGUAUUUAUUCAGGUGCUCACUUGACGCCAGGCACUUAAUCCCCAAGCGAGCCAGGGAAGGAGAUGUGAUUAUGCUUCCUAUUUACUGAUGAGAAUAUUGAGGCUCAAGAAGUCGCACAAUCACAAGUCAGUAAAUGAUGAAGCCAAUAUUUGAACCCCCAAGUCACUAACUCCAUCACUCUCUGUUGCUUUGGGUUUCAUUCCCCUGCCCCUGCCUUUGGAGUUAAUAAUGUGCCCGCUCUCCAAUUCAUGGGCCACCUGGGUAUUUAAUGCUCCCAAAGAUGACUUGACAUUCAUUAUUUAGAAAUGCACAGAUGAGAGAGAGAGAGGCAAGCCGUUUACUAGCCCAACGUUAUUACUAGAAUGGAAAGCUUCUUGAGAAACGUAUUGGCUCAUACUUUCAAAGUGACAUAAUAUUGCUUUCAGCUUUAUUAGCUGAUGGGCUCUGUUGAAAGGUGUUGAGUAUUUCUCUUCUUCUGCCAGAUUGUUUUAAGCUGGGCAAGCGAAUGGGUGGGGUCAUCAGGGCCUUGGGAAAAGAUGUUAUCAGGUGCAUCUACCAGGGAAGAUUGAAAGGGGUCACUGGUUCUCCACCUUUGGGUGUUUGCUCAAAUCAUUUUUUUUUUUUUUUUCUCUCAAAUGGAAUAUCUGCCUAUGACAUAGUAGUCGACCUCAGAGACCCAGCUCUUUUUUGAAAGCCUUCCUUAUUCAUCACAGCCAGCAAUACUGGUUCUAUCUGUAAAGGGGUUGUACGAGGUUGAAUAGUUUCCCUCAAAAUUCAUGUCUAUCUGAAAACCUCAGAAUGUGACUAUUUGGCAAUAGGGUCAUUGCAGAUGUGCAUGAUCAGGCCACCUAAGAUGGCUGUUCUCUUGCUCUCGGUUCAUCCCCUGUUCAACCAGUGCCUGCUUCACCUACACCCUCCUUACAUGACUGACCUUCCCUCUUAGAGCCUAGUCAGUAAAUGCCUGCAUGCUUGCCCCAGCCCCUGCUUUAGAUCAGAACAUCUCCACCAUGAUACGUGAGGGGCGUGCUCCUCUGCUGGUUUCCCUGGUAACUAAUGACCCAACCUGACUUCAGUUCCUCUAUAACUUGGAACUCCCCCUCCCCUCCUCUCCCUACCCCUGUUAGUGAAGGCUGCCACCACGUCCUGCCUGCUGUCUGCUGAAUACGCUGGGGUAUCACUCCAGGACCUUGCCGCAAACAUAUAAGCUUCCCCAUCCUUUAACCCACUGAUGUCUCUGUUGCUGACACUGGGCUUUCUUUGGUCUUGAGGCUGGGCCUACGAAGUACCAAGAAUCAUGCUAAAUGUUGCCCAAACAUCUUCACAACCUGUGAGGUAGAAACUAUUAAUGUGCCCAUUUUACAGAUGAGGAAAAUGAAACUCACAAAUGUGAAGUCACUUGCCCAAGGAGACAUAGGAGCAGCACAGAUUCAAACCCAGAUGCUCUGGCAGCCCAUAAGGAAAUGUGUUUAUCUUGAAAGCACCUGGCAGAGACGGUGUGGAUGGGGCUGAGCUAGUGGAAAGACCCCAUUUCUCAAACCCAGCUUUCUAUACGGAAUUAUUCAAAGGGAAACCUUAUCAGGCAGCCUUCCGGCUUGGUGUCAUCCAUCUUCUAAAGUGGAUGGAAAGAGACACAACCAAACAUUACUAUAAAUUGUAUGGUGGAAGGAGAGAGAGGAAGGCAUGUUUCUAAGAGGGCAAGUCAUGGUUCCCAUCAACAGCUUCUGAAUUAGAUGCAGAAUAUCCUCAACGUGAAGAGUGCUCGAGAUACCACAUCCGCUUGGCAAGAAAGAGCCUAUUUUUUCCCGUGGACCAGAAGUCUUAUUACCUCCUAGCAGAAGGCUCCAGGUGCAUUGGCAUGUGCUUGAACUUAGGCCUACCUGGAAGAAGGAAGCAGCUCUUUCAUUCUGGGUGCACCACAAACAAUUACUGAGCUCCUGCUCUGCGCUAGGCAGGAUAUUGGUGUCAGAGGUCUUCUCCUCUAACCCUGCAGUGUUUUGGAUCUCAGCCACUGGAAACUCCAUCUCCUCAGUUCAAGGGAAGAAGCUGGGAGUUGUCUGCGACUCUGCUCUUUCUAUGUUACAGCCUCACUACUGGUCUCAGCUUAAAGGUCACUUUCUCCAGGAUGCCUUCUCUGAACCUCCUCCUCACCACCUGUAAGACGGGAUACAGUUGUCACACACUCUUGUCUCACUCUGCACUUCUCCUUGGAAACCUUCUCUGAAGGCAGGUCCAGGUCCAAUUCAUUUCCUGGUGUUUUUUUCAGUAUCAAGAACAGCUCCAGGCUCAAACUAGCAUCUAAUGUACCUUUGCCCAAUGAACAAAGAAACAGAUAAGCCAGGAGGUGGGAGCUAAAAAAGAAACAGGUGCGGAUUUCAUUGAAACACUACAUAAUAUUGAGCCAUGCCCAACAUGGACUGCUGUGAAAUGGGCUGUUUCACAAGCGCUGGCCACACAGAGUGGGGACACAAAUCUCACUCUUGCCUUCAGGUCCCAUGAAUUUCCAUGAUGACAUCAAUGCUUCCUCAAACCUGCGGCUUCCUCCUGCAUUCCUUUUCCUUCUCUCUGGAUCUUCCUCCACUAAGAGAGAGCUGAAAUGUUCUCUAAAGAGGAAUAUAACGGAGGAGUUUCUGCUACAGUGCAGCGGGAUUGGUGGCAUCUCUGCAGUGCCAGGAUGCAGGUUUGAUCCCCGGUCCAGCAUAGUGAGUUAAAAGAUUCAGCGUUACCGUGGCAGCUGCAGCUCGGAUCUAACCCCUUGCCUGGGAACUCCAUAUGCUGCGGGGCAGCCAAAAAGGAAAAAAAGAAAAAGAGGAAUAUAAUGGAGUACAAUUGAUUUUUCCACCUGCUAUGAAAACAAAUACAAGUCAGAAUAUCUAGGAGAUAGCCAGAAGAAUAGAUUUUUGGCUCCUUUCAAACUCUCAAGUAUUUAUUUCCUUAAUAACACUUACUAUUUAUUGAGCACUUAUCAAGCACCAGAUACUGCAUUAUAAACAUGGCAUAUAAAUCACCAGUCCUCAAAAACCCAGCUCUCCUGGGUGGAAGUUGUUAUCUUGCAAACGUGAAAAUGCCUUCAUUUUCCCCAGCCAUCUUGGAAUUCAGAGCUAAUGCCCAACUUUUAAAGGAGCUGAUCUAGGCACAUAACCUGCUUGGUGGAGGCAUUCUAUCAUAGAAUCAGUACACUGACCUCAGACAGUGAAGCUGAGUAUCUUCUGACACCAUCAUUGCCUCUCAGAUGAUUCUGAUAAACAGCCUGAAAUACCGAUGUGACACCAAUAUGCUUGACUUAGUCCCACGACCACAAAACACCCAGCAAGCUCCAGCAAGCAAAGGUAAGGCUUUAAUUUUAUUACCCAGGUUUUUUUUCUAAAAGAUAAGUGACAUUCAGAAGUACCUCCUAAAUCAUUGGGGAGAGAUCCAAUUAUGUUUGCUGUCAUUAGUGUUAACUGUACUUUGAGGAAUGCUAAUUUUAAAAAAAUUGGUUACCUGAAUAUGCUAAAAAAAAUUUCUCCCUAAUUGAGCAAGCAGUAGUUUCCUGAACAUUUCAGUGUUGGAGAAAUUCAAGCCCUGAAGCUUAGGAUUUUCUCUGAGAAAUUGGGUUAUGUUGCAUAAGGUCACAAGUGAAAGUGUGAGAGUCCUGAUAAAUUUUCUUUUACAUAAAGUAAAGCAAAGGUGGCAUCUAAAUAAGGAAACCAUCAAAGACAGGUUAUGCAUAUUAAAUUGUUGAUAACAGGUCUUGUGUAACUAAUCUUCAUGCUUCAUCCUUGGCUCCCCAGAUGUGUGCGCCUAUGGCUGCAAACUUCCAUGUAAUUGGUCUGAAUGGUGGGCAUGAGUAUUUUUUUUUUAAAGAAAAUCCAGUCUCAGGGUAGAGGCACAUUGAAGUCGCGGGUGAGGCCUGGGUCUCAGGGUCCCUUUGAUUGGAGUCACCAGAAACCCACUCCAGUGAGCUCAAGUGCAAUUGAGGCUUUGCUAUGAGAUAUAGAAACAUGGGAAUCCAGAGAAAGCAGAACAGUGGGUCUCAGGAAAGGCAGAAGACUUGGAACUAACAGAAUGCUUGUUGCAAACACUCUCCUCCAGUUGCUUGUUAUAUGACCUCAGGUGAGUGACUUCACUUCUCUGUGUCUCAGUGUCAACAGGGGAGAAGCUAUUGUAUGUACAUCUCUGUCAAGUAUUAAAUGGGUUAAUGACUAUGCCAUACUUAGCACCUACUGUCUGUUCAAUACAUGGUAGCUGUUAUUAUUGUUAUAUUUUUCUACAUUACUUUUGUGCAACUGUUCCAUCUUCCUGUUAUUUCCUCAUGGCUUCCACCUGCACAGUAGCUUGCAAGUCAACAUGACCGUCUAAAUUCUAGUGCCUGUAACUCUCUAAAGACUGUCCUCUCCUCUGAGUUCAAGUUGCUAAGAGGGAAAAUCUGACUCAAUUCAUCCAAAUCAAAGGCCCCUUCCAGCCCAUGGCUGGGUUCUCCCUCUGGGUCAGAGAUCCUCCCUGCUCCCCAUGUCAGGGGUUGGAGUCCACCUAGCAGAGCUGUGCGUGAGGACCCUUGCAUUAGGGAGCAUAGAUGAGGAGGCAGAAGCUUGUCUAGAAACACCGGUGAGAUCACUGCUGGUUAGGAAGGAAGAGAAGCCCUGUAAUGGGCUGUGUGAUCAGGAUUAUGUUUGGGGCAGUGGUUACCAGUAUAAAGCCGAUGGAGGAAUCAGGGAUGAACCAUCAUAGUGGUUAUAACUUAAUUAAAAAUGGGAGGAGUUCCAAUUUUGGCUCAGUGGGUUAAUAAGCUGACAUAGAGUAGUC